AGAGUUUGAUCAUGGCUCAGGACGAACGCUGGCGGCGUGCCUAACACAUGCAAGUCGAGCGAAGUUUUUAAAGUGAAUUCUUUCGGGAUGAAACUUUAAAUGUCUUAGCGGCGGACGGGUGAGUAACGCGUGAGAAACCUGCCUUUCACAAAGGGAUAGCCUCGGGAAACUGGGAUUAAUACCUUAUGAUACUUAGCUACCGCAUGGUAGAGAAGUUAAAGCGUAAAGCGGUGAAAGAUGGUCUCGCGUCCCAUUAGUUAGUUGGUGAGGUAACGGCUCACCAAAACUGCGAUGGGUAGCCGGCCUGAGAGGGUGAACGGCCACACUGGAACUGAGACACGGUCCAGACUCCUACGGGAGGCAGCAGUGGGGAAUAUUGCACAAUGGAGGAAACUCUGAUGCAGCGACGCCGCGUGAAUGAUGAAGGCCUUCGGGUCGUAAAAUUCUGUCCUAGGGGACGAUAAUGACGGUACCCUAGGAGGAAGCCCCGGCUAACUACGUGCCAGCAGCCGCGGUAAUACGUAGGGGGCGAGCGUUGUCCGGAAUUAUUGGGCGUAAAGGGUUCGCAGGCGGUUUUUUAAGUCAGAUGUGAAAGGCUACGGCUCAACCGUGGUAAGCAUUUGAAACUGAAAGACUUGAGUUAAGGAGAGGAAAGUGGAAUUCCUAGUGUAGCGGUGAAAUGCGUAGAUAUUAGGAGGAAUACCAGUGGCGAAGGCGACUUUCUGGACUUAUACUGACGCUGAGGAACGAAAGCGUGGGGAGCAAACAGGAUUAGAUACCCUGGUAGUCCACGCCGUAAACGAUGAGUGCUAGGUGUUGGGGGUCAAACCUCGGUGCCGCAGCUAACGCAUUAAGCACUCCGCCUGGGGAGUACGUACGCAAGUAUGAAACUCAAAGGAAUUGACGGGGACCCGCACAAGCAGCGGAGCAUGUGGUUUAAUUCGAAGCAACGCGAAGAACCUUACCAGGGCUUGACAUGCCACUGACCGGUCUAGAGAUAGACUUUUACCUUCGGGUACAGUGGACACAGGUGGUGCAUGGUUGUCGUCAGCUCGUGUCAUGAGAUGUUGGGUUAAGUCCCGCAACGAGCGCAACCCUUGCCUUUAGUUGCCAUCAUUAAGUUGGGCACUCUAGAGGGACUGCCGAUGAUAAAUCGGAGGAAGGUGGGGAUGACGUCAAAUCAUCAUGCCCUUUAUGUCCUGGGCUACACACGUGCUACAAUGGUCGGUACAACGAGUUGCUACCUAGUGAUAGGACGCUAAUCUCUAAAAGCCGAUCCCAGUUCGGAUUGUAGGCUGCAACUCGCCUACAUGAAGUUGGAGUCGCUAGUAAUCGCGAAUCAGAACGUCGCGGUGAAUGCGUUCCCGGGUCUUGUACACACCGCCCGUCACACCAUGGGAGUAGGCAAUACCCGAAGCCAGUGAGCUAACCAGUAAUGGAGGCAGCUGUCGAAGGUAGGGUCAAUGACUGGGGUGAAGUCGUAACAAGGUA
rnacentral:rRNA from 1 species